rnacentral:rRNA from 1 species
UACGGGGGGGGGCAAGCGUUGUUCGGAAUUACUGGGCGUAAAGGGCGCGUAGGCGGUUCGCUAAGUUGAAUGUGAAAACUCUGGGCUUAACCCAGAGCCUGCAUCCAAAACUGGCGAACUGGAGUACUGGAGGGGAAAGUGGAAUUCCAAGUGUAGCGGUGAAAUGCGUAGAGAUUUGGAGGAACACCAGUGGCGAAGGCGACUUUCUGGUCUGUAACUGACGCUGAGGCGCGAAAGCGUGGGGAGCAAACAGG